GAUGAACGCUAGCGACAGGCUUAACACAUGCAAGUCGAGCGGCAGCAUGUUCUUAGCUUGCUCAUGCUGAUGGCGACCGGCGCACGGGUGCGUAACGCGUAUGCAACUUGCCUCACAGAGGCGGAUAACCCGGCGAAAACCGGACUAAUACCGCGUACACUCUAUGUUGGGCAUCCAACGUAGAGGUAAUGAAAUUAGCGGUGAGAUAGGUACGCGUUCCAUUAGCUAGUUGGUGAGGUAACGGCUCAGCAAGGCGACGGUGGGUAAGGGAACUGAAAGGGGGACACCUCAGAAUGGUACCGAGACACGGACCAGAACGCGACGGGACGCAAGAGUGAGGAAUAUUGGUCGAUGAGGGAUAGCGUGAACCAGCCAAGUCGCGUGAAGAAUGACUGGCUUAGGGAAUGUAAACUGCUUUUAAACAGGAAUCGCAAGAGUAACGUGUCGCGUCUUGACUGUACCGUAUGAAUAAGCAUCGGCUAACUACGUG
rnacentral:rRNA from 1 species